GUAAGGAAUAUUGCUCAAUGGGAGAAAUCCUGAAGCAGCAACGCCGCGUGGAGGAUGAAGGGUCUAUGACUUGUAAACUCCUGUAAAGAAGGAAAAAAUUCCCAUUAGAUGGGAGAUGAUGGUACUUCUGGAGUAAGCCCCGGCUAACUACGUGCCAGCAGCCGCGGUAAUACGGAGGGUGCGAGCGUUGUUCGGAAUUACUGGGCGUAAAGCGCGUGCAGGCGGUCUCUUAAGUCUGGUGUGAAAGCCCGGGGCUCACCCCCGGAAGGGCACUGGAGACUGGGAGGCUAGAGUACCGGAGAGGAAGGUGGAAUUCCUGGUGUAGCGGUGAAAUGCGUAGAUAUCAGGAGGAACACCGGUGGCGAAGGCGGCCUUCUGAACGGCUACUGACGCUGAGACGCGAAAGCGUGGGGAGCAAACA
rnacentral:rRNA from 1 species